AAAAUUGCGCGUAUAAACACUUUAAUCAUGAUGAAAUACUCGACUGUUUUGUUGGUAGUGCUGAUCCUGGUGCUUGAGAUGAUAGUUUCUGGAUUGGCGGCUCCCGCAAAUGCCAGUGGAGUUCAACUUUUCGGUUCUGGUAUUGCAUGGAAAAACUUCCAGAUGUUUGGCAACAGCAAAGGAUGAUAAAAUUAUCUGCCUUGGUUGAUACAUAAAUGGAAAUAAUAAAAUUUUAUAAUGUAUUUUUACCAUGCAUUCAUUAAA